UCUGCCACUGGCUUUGGUUGGUUAACUUCAUUGAACAACCUGGCAAGCUUGGUUUUUCAUCUGCCAUCUCUGAUGCUUGGAGCUUCUUGAUUAGCAUCACCAUCGGCUUUGAAUUUCACUUUCUUAAGGAUAAGCAGAAACAUGGCAGGAGCAGAAGUUCCUUUAAGUGGUGUCAUAGAUGAUAUCCAAGGUGAUGAAGGACAAGGAAGAACAGGGUUCUUUUCAAAGAGAAUAUAUGAUAUAUAUAUAAGAAACCAUUAAAAAAAUGUGUGCAUGAGAUGGUUAACAAUGGGAUUCAAUGUGUACAAAUUUAGGGAACAAAAUAAUUUGUCAAGAAUGGUCUUCCCUAGCCACACUGCUAUGUUAAAUUCUAUCUGAUGCCGUAUAUUUUCUUGAAUAUGGCCAAAUGUGGUCCAUUUUGAUCCUUUUUUUUAUGGCAAACUGAAGCAUUUGAGCUUUCAUGCUGUGUGGGAUUUUUGUUGCAUUUCAGCUUGUUAAUGUUGAACCAGUCGAUUUAACAUCAUUUAGGCCCAUUUGUUGUUGAACUUGUUCUGGCCCAUAUGAGUUUCAACAAAUUUCCUGCCUCCUUUUUUUCUUUCCCCCCUCUCCCCCCAGAAAAUAGGGUCUAUUAUAAUGUCUGAUUCUGUUUGGAUGAAAUAAAUAUGAUCAUAUAUGAACUUCUCAGCUUUUAUCAUGUAUAUUUUCACAAUGGUUAAUCUGAAACAUGUCACAAGAAUAACCACUAAGAGUAUUUUGAUUUGGUGGAAAAACUGGAAAUCCUACCUGUAUCGAUCUGACAACUUAAGGUAUUCUGCUUUUUUACAUCAAGAAUGUCAAUAUGGUCUUGUUAUCCUCUUCCUCACCCACCUCAGAUUUUGGCAUUACAAUCCACCUUUUAGAUGAAUUACCUUUCUUUGGCAUGCCCUGCUUGGUCUCAAUAAAAAUAUCAGAAUGACGUGUAUCUUUCUCACAUACUGCAUUGCUUAUUAUCCUGAGAAUAUGUAUUUUUGUUUCUUGUCCUCCUUCCAGUUCCUGUUUAUAUCAAAUUUAGUUGUAUUUACUUGUGGGAAUGCAAGGCAUGAUUCUCCUCUAUUGGUCUGAGCUCUUCCUUACUGGAAUGCCAUUUUCUUUUGAAGUAGGGGUCAUAGCCUCAUUAGGCUACAAAUUUUUCUUCUUGUAUUUCUUUUUGGGCAUGUUAGAAUUAUUAUUUUUUCUCUCCUUUAUUAUUUUGUUCUUUUUUCUGACCUCAUUGCUUGCUUACUAUAAGGUAUUUCCUUUUGAAUUUGUAAUCAUAACUCAUUUGACUACAAUUUUUUUUUUUCCUUUGACAUUUCUGAAAUAUAUGGUAUUUGCUUUAUUGUUCUUCCAAUUUAUUACUAUAUUAGUAAUAUAAUACAUGUAGCCUGCCGAAGUAUCCUCUGGUUCUUUAUGCAUUUGUUUGAACAUCAAUUCUCGUCUGCAAAGAUAAUUUAGCAUUUUUGCAAUGAUUACUUGAGAAGCUGUGUACAUGAUAAUUGCCUUUCAAAAUGUAAGCUAAAUGUGAAGUACAAGCUUUGGUGUUAAAUUCAGGAUGUACUAGUUUUUCACAAUACUAUGCCUGCUUUUAUAUUGAACAAUGGUUUAUCCAUCCUUUGUCCACAGCCCACAUUGGUGUCUAUAACAUCAUCUAAUUCUCUUCGUUUCAUGUGUAAUUCCCAAACAGAAAAUGCUUUUGCCUUGCGGUCUCCCCCCUGAAAGAGAGGACGAUUGAUUGUUGUUGUUUGGCAGACGCUGAAGCAGGACACUGAAGAUGGAUCUUUGCUGGCUUUUGUGUACCUCCUAUGUCCUUUGAUGUGCAAUAUGUGACUUGUGGAGAAUUUUAAUAUUGCAAUUGGAACAACGGAGCUAUAGCAGCAUAGGAUAUUUCCAUCUGGUUUUAAGGACAGACCUGUCAAAGACCCUUGUACUAAUUUGUUUGAUGAACAUUGGUACAAGUUCUCAAACCCAGCUAGGUUUAUCUUAUCUAUUUGAUCGAGUAGGUAUUAUAUAUUACCUUAUUAAUUGGCGAUUUUCUUUUUUUUAAAAAAAAAAAAAAAAAAGAAAUUGGUCAUAAGACUCAUACCUAUCUUUUUUAUUUUUUAUUUUUAUAUUUUUCAUAUUUUCCCUCUUAAUUUUUAUUUUAAAAAUCACUAAUAAUUGAGGGAACAAUUUAUUUUAAUUUUUUAAUCAUAUUUAUUAUUUUAAUUUUUAUGUUUAAAAAAUUAAAAAUGAUAAAGUUAUUUAAAUUUGCAGACAACUAAAAUCUUAAAAACUUAAUAAAAAUAAAAUUUUAAAUACUUUAUAAAAUAAAUUUUAAAUGAAAAUUAAUUUGAUAAGAUACAUAAUAAAUUUAGUUUUCGAAUAAUAAUUUAAAUAAAUUAGUGACAAAAACUUUUCAAAAAUUUUGAAGACUUUUAAGAUGAACUCUCAAAUAAAAUAUUUCACAUUAAAUUUUGUUUUAAGAUUUUGAAUGAUUUAAUUUUUUGUUCAAAAUGUUUCAAUAAAAUUAAUGAUUUCUUUUACAUCUAUUUUUUUUUUUUCCAAAUAAAUGGAUAUAGAUGAAAUGAAAAGGAUUUUUAAUAGUUUUAGUAAAAAAAUUGUCUUCAAAUAAUGAAAUCAAUAAAAUUUCUCCACGUGCAUUAAUAUUCAUCAUUCGUUUUUUUAACAUUUUCAUAACAAGUAGGGAAAUCAUAAAUAGAGACGUAAUAAGUAGGGAAAGGAGUCUUAUUGUAUGGAAAGUGCUUGAAAUAAGAGAUUAUUUUAUGGUAUGCUCCAAAAACCGGAAACGCUCAAAAUGGGAUCUAUGAAGAAGCUUUGAUGAUGGUUAGUGAAGGAGUGGCCCACUCUAACAGCAUAAAUGGGCUCGAGCCUAAGCAAACCAGAAAAGGCCCAGAGGCAUAACCGUACUAUAGGCUCAACAAGGUGUCAAGGACAAGAGAAACCCACGACAAUAAGGGUUGGGCUGAAGCUUGCCUAUGGGAAAUUCUUUAAGUUUAUGUUUAGUCCAGAAAGUACCAAAAAGAAAAAAAAAUAUAUAAAGAAAAAUGGUUUUCUCAUAUUUGAUUCCACUAUAAUUUUUAAAAAAUUAAAUAUAAUUAAAAUUAGUUAGAAAUUUAUAUAUUUUAAAAUUACUUAAUUUUUAUAUAAUGAAAGAAAUUAAGUGAAAUGAAUUUAAAGAAACAUAUAAAAUAAUUUAUUAAUUUUAAAUUUAUUUUUUAUUUUUUUCUUUUCUUCCACUUUUUCUUUUUAUUUUAUUUCUCUCACAUUUUCCUUCGAAUUUUUCGAAAUCAAAAACUUAAGUAUUUUUACAAACCCUAAGCAUCAACGCUUGAGUAUAGCAUGUCAGGGUGGGCAUAACACAUUCUUUAAUUGGCACGUUUAGGGUUGACACAUUAGGAGGACGUUUGGAAGUUGACCAAUCUUAUCAAUGGGGAUAUUCUCAAUUGUCUAUCAACCACUGCAUGGGUAUUAGAAUUAGGCUACUAGCCUUGAGCCAAUCACUUUAUGUAAAUUUUAUUGAGGUGCCUCGUACUAACUUGAUUGUCAAAGGGGCAUAAUAGGGAAUCCCCUUACUUGUUGGAGUUCAUCCUCAUUGAAUACAUUACUCACUUGAUCACCAGAUAGCAAGGCCAAGCUGCUAUUGAACUUGCCCGUUUAUUGACCUACUUUGGAAGCUUGUGCAUAAACAUCUGAAGUCGUCUGUGGGAACGGAUAGGAAAUUGUGUGAGUUACAUGGUGACCAGCUAAGCCGCAAGCACUAUGGAGGAUGGUUGGACUCCCACUCCUACUCUAGAACAGCAUCUCAUAGUGAUGCAAAAGACCAUGGAGGUCUAGUUGGUUGAGUAUCAUACACAGAUGGAGAAAACGUGAAGAACAAUUAAUGGAAGGAGAAAAUACGAAGAGGGAUUAAAAGACUAUCAUGAGAACAAAGAAGUGAUUGCUCAAGUGAGCCUGAUAGCCAAAGCUCACUCAGCAACAAUAGAGCCCCCAACUAAGAUUGGUCACCUGGAGGUAGGGACAUUGCCAAACGACCUCUACAACCUAAUGUCACCCAAACCCUAGUGAUAGAAGUAGAUAGUCAUGCUAACCUUUCAUGCCCUUUGAUAGUGAAUUAAUCCUUAGUUGAACCUGCUUAGAGUGCAUAUGACCUUAGUGAAAACCAGAGUUGCACAGGAAAAUGCACACCUUCCAAGAGCCUACCUAUGGCCCUUACUUAUAACCAAGCAACCUUGAACCAUUUAUGCAAUGUGGCUAGCUCUAAGGCCCACUUAGAUCAACCGUAAGGAUGUUGGACGAUAUAUUGUCUACCUAGUUCUUAAACUUCAUUCGGUAAUGGGAGCAAUCAUGUUGAUUUGCAAUGCCAAAGUUCACUAUGUACAAUGUAUGUUCGACCAACUCAUGCACUAUCAACAAGUCAUGACCCACUCCUAUGCAAAGUGUUCUCCGCUAUCCCACAUAGCCACGCCUUGGCCUGGUUCCACCAACUACCUCAAAAUUCUAGUCACAACUUCUGAGGAUUGUUGGAAGUUUUUAUGACCCAAUAUCUUUAUUUGGCCAACAAGAAGCUGACGUAAUUUAUUUUUCUUGUCCCUAAAUACCCAGACUAAUUAUCUUGUUGAGAAAAUUUAGUGAUCAAGUUGCAACAGCUUUGUAAUAUGUUGGGUAUCGUCUUCAAAGAAUGAUUAUGAAAUUUGUCAAUAUUAGCUUAGGUUGAUGACUUUAUUUAAAUCCAAAGGUAAAAAGAUGGUUUUAUGGAUUAUAAUUUAGGAAAUUAAUUAAAGAAAACAAAGAAAAUAAUUGAUUUUAAUUCCUAUGAUUCACCAAUCCAAUUUGGAGAAUAGAAGUUAGGGUGAAUAAGACUCUUAAUUUAUGGUAAUCUUAGGGCUUUUAGGAUUCGUGGUUGAUCAUGUGGUCAAUUUGAGUUCUAUAACUUCGUAUUACAUUUGAAACCUAAUUUUCUUCUUUUAAAAUUCUAAUUUCUAUUUAUCAUCAAUUUAAUGAAAUUGAUUAUGGUUCAGCUCUCAACUUUAAAGUUGCCACCUUAGUGAAGUACUAUACCAUGUCCUUUCCUACUCCAAACUACGAGAGUUUUAUAGUCUUAUUGCUUUUACCUUGAACCAUUAGACAAAUCCAUUUAGGUUUUCCAUAUUCCCACUGUUCACCUUUUGUUCUAACAUUAGACUUUCAUGUUUCACACCCUAAGAUGGCUAUUUAGCCCCUCAUGGGUGUCUUUUCAUGCACACAAGCCAUAGGAAACCAAAUCAACAAGUAUUAAAUAAAAAAGAAAAUGCCAAACAUAGUAGAAAUAACCAACCUAUUGUUUUCUUCUUCAAAAACUCUAAAAUCCAAAAUCUGAAACUCUAAGACCCUAAAACUAAAAGUGUUUUGCUAAUCUUUGCAUAACCAUGACAUAUAGUACACUCUCAUUGACCAUUUUUAUCAAAAUUGCAUCAUAAGUUUUCCAAAAACUUGAAAAAUUAUGAAUUCUAAAUAUUCUAGAGUUGUUUUGAAUUGGAUAGAUGCUUGGAAAGUUUAUUUUGAAUUGGUUCAAGCUUGUUUUACCCUAAACAACCCUUGACUUUGAAAUUCGUGGGUGAAGUCAAAAUCAUUUUGAAUGGGUAAGUAACUGUUGACCGUCCUAAAUGUUGAGUUUGAAAUUAUGAGUUAUGAAUUCAAAAUUGGUGGCUGGUUUUGAAUUCAACUAUUACUUUUCAUCCUCUAUGCAAUCCUCAGUUUGAAAGGAUUUAUGUAUUUAGAAUUUAGGCUUUGAAAAGAGUCUUUUCACCUUCCAAAAUCUAUUUUGCAUACUUCUUUCUUUUUUUCUUUUUUUUUUUUUUUUUUUUGGCUUGUUUUGACUUCUAAUAUGCCUUCAAACUUGAAUGAAUAUCUCUCUAUCACCUCCAUAAUGUCUUUUACACAAACGAUAUGAUUUACAUUCAAUCUAAGGCAUAAACCAUUCAACUUAACUCAAAUUUAUUUUAGCACCCUAGUUGAUGAUCUAAUGUUUAUCUUGAACUAAAAGAUAGGUAAAGGAGUAUAAAGGAUGUAGAAAGAGAGUAUGUGCAUAGAGGCAUAUGAAGGACUAUUCAUGCAUAAGAAAAUUAGGAUUAUAAAUAAACUUCCAUUUUAAUUCAUAUACAUCCAUAUUCUCACACAUUAACAUCCAUAUAUAAUUAGACAUAUAUAAGGAAAUAAACACAUACAUGGAAACCAAAUAAAAAUGAUUCUCAUGGUCCUAGAAUCCUAUAGUGAUUAAUUUUAGUUGUUUCCUUUUUGCAAUCAAACAUCCAAAACAUCCCGAAAAAGCAUCCAAGCUUGAUGCCAAAAACUAAGCCUAACAAAAGACCCAAAAAUGAGCCCAAACUGACAAAAUACACACACACACACUGUAACGACCCGCACCCAACCAUAUAGAUAUUGUCCGCUUUGGGCCCAAGAAGACCCUCACGGCUUUAAAACGCGUCUACUUGGUUAAAAGGAGCCUCUACAUAUAUAGCGUCAGGAACUUGCUCCCCUAUCCGAUGUGGGACAUCACAAAUACCCCCCCAUGCAGACACAACGUCCUCGUUGUGUCCCAUGGGAUUACGGGGCCAAACAGACAGACACCCCUUACGGAGCCAAACAAACCCCCACACCGGGGUCGGGGAUCGGCUCUGAUACCAUUUGUAACGACCCGCACCCAACCAUAUAGAUAUUGUCCGCUUUGGGCCCAAGAAGACCCUCACGGCUUUAAAACGCGUCUACUUGGUUAAAAGGAGCCUCUACAUAUAUAGCGUCAGGAACUUGCUCCCCUAUCCGAUGUGGGACAUCACACACACACACACACACACACACACACACAAGGCUCAAACUCAAUUCCAAAGUAUCAUUGUCCUUUGCAUAACCCUACUUCAAUCUGUCAUAUUUCCAUUGUCUCAACUGAUUCACAAAUUGUUUGAAUUGUUGGAUUCAUAACUUCUUAAGCUUUAAAAUUAUAUAUGGCUUGCCUCAUGAAACUCAUGGGAGACUACCUGAAUUUUGAAUAUUAAAAGUCAAAGCUUAUAAAUUGUCAUGGUUUUUGUUUGUCUUUUCUCCAUUUCUUCUUAGAAAAAAACCAUAUUUUGUGGUUGGAUUGCUUUCAAAUCUUCUAAAUAUCAAUCCUUCUCAUGAUUGCAAUCCCAAAAGGGGAUUAUCUUGGAUUACAACCAUAGAACCAAAAAGAAAUUUUCAUUGAAAAAAUUCUAUGCUCCCAUCAUGAAGCUUACAACCAUUCUAUGGAAGAAAAAAAUAAUUUUUUUACAAGAGACAAAUAGUCUAUGCUCUUCAAAUAAAGCUUACAACUCAAUCUAUUGCAACAAGAUAUAUAUUCAAAAAAUAAUUCUAUGCAUUCAUUCCUUAGGUAUGGAAGAAAUAAAAACCUUGCAAAAUAAAUGCAAGCAUAUCCUAGAAUUAAUCUAAUCAUGUUUUCCCUAAUAUAAGGCUCUUAAAAUAGUUGUUGGGAUAUCGUGGAAAAACCAUAUCCAAGCCCUGGAUCUCCAAUGGGUGCAUGCAUUAAGAUCUUAAGCGUAACAAGAAAACUACAUAUGCCUUUAGAACUUUUCUUAGGUGAAGAUAACAAGAAGAAAUCAUACCUUAGAUUUGGAUGUUCCCAAAUCUUUUUCCAGUUGAUAGAGAACACAAUCUCGAGGACCAAGAGAUCUUUCGCCUAAUAGCUCUUCAUUAGAUUUUGACAAUAGAAAAGUGUGGAUUGCUCUCUCUAAAUGUAUGAAGGUUAGGAUUUUCUUUCUCUCUUUGGAAGACAAUAGUGAAUUAGAGUGUCUAACCCUAAAUCAUAAUAGGGUUUAUAUAGACUUCUUUGUGAGCUUAAGUGACUUGAGUUCAUCUUAGCUUUAGAUUACUUAAUUUAGUUCACUAGGUCUUAAUUAACUAAUUAGCAUUUUUAUGCUUCAAUUAAUUAAUUAGCUUAAUCCAAAAAGAUAAUUCAUAAACACUUUAUGCAACCCUAUAUUUUUACCAAAACACAUUUAUGCAUACAUAUGAAUAAAAACCUAAAUAUCCCUCAAAAUAACAUACCACUAAGGAGUGUGAGUUCAAGUAAGGACCAUUAGUACCCAUAGGAAAAUACUGACUCCCGCAUAAUACAAUUCUGAGGUUAACUUAAAAUCUCACUACAAAUAAUCAAUUACACUCCAACAUCCUUUUAAAUUAAAUCAAAAAAAUAAAUUGAUUAAAUCUAAUUUAAUCAAAUUUUCAAGCUUGUGACCUACUAACCACCAUAUGCAAAAUUUCCAUGAAUUCAUGUGUGUAAUCUAACAAGAUGGAAGUUAACAACUUCUCAAAAUUCCAUAUACCAUCUUUGAGUCUUAGAUCCCCCUAUUAUGUGACCAAUUGACAAAUUUUUGCUUACUAGGAGCAUAUGUCAAAUUCCAUUAAAAGAAUUACAAGGGUGUCAUAGAUUUCAUGAUCACAAGUCGGGAUCACCCAAGGAGAUAUAGGGGCUGUUUGGUUGGUGUUUUCAAGAACUAUUUUCUGUUCUUGAAAACAAAAAAUACUAAAAACUUGUUUGGUUAAGAAAGUUGUUUUUGUUUUUCUUGUUCUCUGUGUUCUCAAAAUGACACUUUUUAGAGAACAAAAAAAUGGUGUUUUGCCCAUUUUUUUUACUGUUUACAGAACAUAAAAAACCAUAAAGAGAACACCUGUUCUCUGUGUGUGUGUGUGUGUGUGUGUUUUUUUUUUUCCAGAUCUGAGCUUUUUUUUAUCAUGUGUUGUUAGUUUUUUUUUUUCCCAUUUAUAUUUUCUUGUUUGGAUGCUGAGAAAAGUGGGGAACGAGAUUGAAAAUAGAAAAAAACAAUUCUUAAUUUUUCCCGUUUCUCAGUUUUGAUUUUUUUUUUAGUUGUUCUGUUAAAAAAAAAACAAAAAACUUGCUUAAGGACAUGGAAGAGAAAGAAAAUGAGUUGCUUUGAGAGGGUUUUGCAGGUGACUUUUUCUCAGUUUUGAAGAAGAUGAGAGACGACUGAGGGUGAGGGUAGUCAUUUGUAAAUAAGGUAAUAAUAUUGAGUUAACACUUUUCUCAAUAAUGGAAUGAGCAGAGAUAUUUUGAAGGGCCAUGGUUGGUAAAAAAAAAUUUCAUACAUAAAGUGCAAAUUUCAAAACAUAUUAGGUGGUAAAAUCUAUUGGUCAACCCAAGCAAAACACCAUCUUCAGCCGUGGGAUCCCUUGGAAAAUGACCAUCUCCUUGCAUUUAUAUUCAUGUCCUAUUUAUUUUAUUUACAAGCUUGUUAGGUGAAAAUUAGUUGUAAAAAUUAAAUUAAUUCUUUUUAAAAAUUUUUAUUUCAUCUUAAUAAAAUAUACUAUAAUUUUUAAUAAAAUUAAAGAUUAAAUCAAGAAAAAAAAUGUUAAUAAAAAUGAUUUUAUCAUGUUUGAUUUAUUUUAAAAAAAUAUAAAAAAUAUUUUUAUUUUAAAAUUAAUAAAAUAAAUAUAUUUUUUUAAUUUAAAUGAACCGUGUAUCUAAAAAUUAUUUAUAAAUUUAUAAUAUAAAGUUACUUGAAGAAAACAUUUUAUUAAUUGGAAAAAAAAAAAAACAUCUUUCAAACAUGUUUUUUGUUUUACUUGUUCUAAAAAACUUUUUUAUUAACUCAACCAAACAUGUUUUUUUUUUUUUUUUGAAAACAAAAACUAUUUUCCAAAAUUUAGUUCCCAAACACAAUUUUUUUUUUUCUAAAAACACAAAAAAUUGUUUUUAAAAAUUGUUUUCAAAAACUGUUUUCCAGAACAAUUUUCAAAAACAGCAACCAAACAGGCCCAUACUAUUUCAAACCCAUAAGAUAUUAUGGUGCUUAUUUUGAGAAUUUUGAUUAUUAUAUGACUUAAUAAAAAAAUAACUCAAUCCAUACAGAAUAUAUGACCACCUUACGAUCUCAUUCAUAAGUUAAAGUUACUGAAGACUUCAACACUAGUUCAAUGUUCUCUCAAGGUUAAGAAUUGAUGCAGUAUAGUAUCUUGGUGAAAUAUUGGUUACUUGAUAGCUAAUGUCAUGAUUCAACAUAGGUUUUGUCCAAUGUGUGGCCAUACAUACUAGUGCACUCACUAUGGGAAACUCAUCCACAUGACCAUGACAAGUCAUUCCUCCAAUCAAGAGGUAGUGCACUAUAGCUUUAUAUGAAUUUACUAAGUCUAUGAACUAGUUAUGAACAACUCAUCAACUUGCAAAGAACUCAUGACUUGUAUCUUCUGUGCAAUUUCUAAUACAUCUAAGUCAUGUACAAUGCUAGUGAUCUAAACCUAUAUGAUCAAAUCAAUUAGAAUGCAUAAGUGGGAUAGUGAAAUGAAAGUGAAAACUCAUAUUGUUACAUCGUGUCAUGUUUUCAUGGGCUCUAUCCUAAUACUAAGUCUAAACUUCUUGUGAUAAUUUGUGAAUUUAGUAAAAAUGUAACAAGAAAAGAGUAGAAGAAAAUGUUCUCAAGGAGAUUUAGAAAUCUAAAGCUGUUUGGAAGGAAAAUCGACAAAAUGAUGGAAAAUAGAGUAAUAUGAGCUAAUAUCAUGUCAAAAGCUUCAUUUGUUAAGAUAGAGCCUUUAAAAGUAGUGACAUAAUAUAAUAUUUGAUUUCAUUGUAUUGAAAUAAUUUUUUUUAAUCAUAUUUACAUCAUUAUAGUAUAUUUGAAUAUUUAAAUUUAAUCACUUAUAUUGUACAUGAAUUGAGUAUAUCAAGAGUUGUACGAAAGAUUCUAAUAAGUAUAUUCAAGUCAUAUUAGAAGUUGUAAUGUUCCUCCUAAUUGGUGGGAUAAUUUGUCUUAUUCAUCAGGAUGUAUAUCUCAUGGUAGGUAUACUAAUGUGUAAGGUCAUACAUUAAAUAGGACAUAUAAAAAGUCAUGAUAAAAUGAUUAUUGGUUGUCAUGACUGCUCCAAGCUACUAUAUUGCACGUGUUCUCAAUUUCGACAGAAUUUUAUGUUAGUGUUAAAGUCAUUAAUGAUUUUAAUUUAUGAUUAAGAUCUUAGAGCAAUUAUAUAUCUCUUAUGAAUGAGGUGAUUGGUGUUUUGGGUAGAUGACAAUAAAUAUUCUUGAUAGAGAAACCAUAAUAUCUCAUGGGUUUGAGAAAGUAUGUCGUCUUGGGUAAUCUUAAUAAUUCAUGACUAAAAAAUUUAUAGUUAUAGUAAUUUCUUAAGUGGAAUUUAACAUAUGUUGUUCAUGGAAAAAAGUAUGUUGAUUGAUCAUGAUAUAUAUAGAUUGAGAGUCAAAGAUUAAAGAGAUAAUCUUGAGAAGUUGAUAACUAGUACUUCAUUGGAUUAUAGACAUUAAUUUAUGGGAAAACUACAUACAAUGAAUAGUGGGUCGUUGACCCAAAAAACUAAUUAAUUAACAAUUUAUUAAUUUAUUGAUUGAUUUAAUGUUAUAUGAUGUUGAAGUGCAAUUGAUUCUUUUUUGUAGAGUGUUGAGUCAACUUCGAAAUUUGAUUAUGAAGAAUCAAUAUUUUCUUAAUAGUUCUAGUGGUCAUUGCUCAAGUUCACAUAUUUGGUGGCGCAUGGUUUGAGGGAAAUUUCUUUUGCAUAAGCAUGCACAUUGGUGCUUUUGCAUAAGCACGAGUUACAUAAAUGUUUAUAAUUAAAUGGUUUAUAGUUUCUACUUAGGCUAUUUAAUUAAUUGGAGGCUAAUGAGCUAUUUAAUUAAAUAGAACCUAUUAGGCCUAGAUUAAGUAACCCAAGGAGAUCCUAAUCACUUAAGUCCAAUUAGUAGCUAUAUAAACCCUCUUAGGGUUUAAGGUUAGCAAGACUUGUUCUUUCACUUUUCAUAAAAAAAAAAAAAAGGUCCUCACCAUCUUCAUCAAGGAAGAGAAGAUCACACUUCUCUUAUGCUUAGAUCCCAUGAAAAAGCCAUCGGGUCGAAGGUUCUAAGAUAUUAAAGUUGCUUUAUAUUACAUUGGAAAAGAUUUGAGAGCAUCCAAAUCGAGGUGUGUACUGUAAUCACCCUAGAAAUACUAUUUUUUUAAAAAUAGGCAUAUUUCUUUAGACCUAGGGAUCUUAGAUCUUUGCUCCCCUUUAGAUUGUGAUUUCUUUAGGAUAGAUCCCUUCAAAGUAUAUCAUGAUUUAACAAUAAAUGGAUUUUAUUAAUAUUAUGAUUCCAAAUUCAUUUUCACUAUCCUAUUUUUGCCUUAUCAAUGUCAAGCAUUUGGGUUUUCAUCACUUACAAUGUAUAUGACUUGAGUGCAUUAGGCCUUGUAUAAAAGAUUCAAGCUAUGAGUUCUUUACAAGUUGAUUAGUAAUUCACACUCGGUUUAUAGAUUUGCAUAAGCCAUCGAGGUUGUAGUGCACUACCUCCUAAUUAGAGGGAUGAAUUAUCUUAAUCAAUAGGAUGAAAUUCCUAUGGUGAGUACACUAGUGUAUAUGAUUAUACAUUGAAUAGAACUUAUGGUGAGUGAUGACAUUGACUAUUAUCACUAAGCUAUUAUGUUGCAUGAGCUCUUGGUUUUAAGAAAAUAUUGAGUUAGUGUUAAAGUAUUCAAUGACUUUAAACUACUAGUGAGAUUUUAAGGUGAGCAUAUAUUUCCUAUAAAUUGGGCACUAUUGAUCAAGGUAGGUGACUAUAAGUAUUCUCAAGAUGGGAACCAUGAUAUCUUAUGGGUUUGAGAUGAUAUAUCUUCUUGGCUGAUCUUAAGGGCAUGUGAUCAUGAAAUUUAUGGUCGUAGUAAUUUUUUUAAUAGAAUUUGACAUAUGUUUUUAGAGAGUUAGAGUAUGUCAGAUGAUCACAUAAUAUGAGGAUUUGAGACUCAAGAAUAGUAGAGAUAAUCUUGAGAGGUUGAUAACAUUCACUUGUUAGAUUAUGGUUACUAGUUCACAGAGAGCUUUCAUAUAGUUGUUAAUAAGUCACAAACCCAAGUUUUCUAUUUCAAUUCAAUAUCAUAGUAUAUUGUAAUGCAAUUAAUUCUUUAUAGUGAGAUGUUGAAUCAACUUCAAAAUUGGAUUAUGAGAAAGCCAACACUUGAUUAUGGGUCCUAAUGGUCCUUGCUUGAGUUCAUAUUCUUUAGUGACACAUUAUUUAAAGGAUAGUUAGGUUUUUACCCAUGUGUGUAUAUAAGGGUGUUUUGGUAAAUAUGCAAGGUUGCACAAAAACUUAUAAAUGAUGUUUCUAGAUUGGACUAAUUAACUAAAUAAAGUCCAAUAUGGUUAAUUAAUUAAUUAAGAUCCAAUGGGCUAGAUUAAGUGACUAAAGCUCAAGUUAGGCUUAAGUCACUUAAGUCCACAUGCAAGUUUAUAUAAACCUCCUUAAGGAUUUAGGGUUGGUAGUUUUACAUCUUUUUUCAGUUCUUUUUUUUUUUUAUAAAAAAAAAAUAAGAACCCUAGCCUCGAUCCCUACAUAGAGUAUUCCACCAUUCUCAUAUGCUAAAGUCUAAGAGAAAGCCAUUGGGCAAAAUAUUGUAAAAUAUUAGAGAUCCGCACUACCCUCUUCUCUGAAUGGAAUUGAUCUAGAAACAUCCAAAUCAUAGUUUUUGUUUUCUAUGCACUUAGAUCUAAGGUUCAUGAUUUUGAAUAUUUCUGUUACAUAAAUCUAAAGAUCCCUAGGAUAGUCUUGCAUGCACCCCUAUGAUCUAGGACUUGGAAUGGAGUAAUCUUGAUAUUCCAACAGAUUCUUUACAUUAUUUUGAUACCAAGAAACUCAAAUCAAAAUUGGUCCCUAUAAUGGAUGGAACCUGAACAAAGGAGCCUUUUAUCAUAAUAUUAGUGCAAAACUUUGAUACAGAAACAAAAUAAUGAACAAUGCCAAAUUUGUUAAUAACACCUAGUAUUAGAAUCAUUUCAAUAUUGAAAAUUUGAUGAAGGAACUAAAUAGACUCAAACAUUGUCCCUUAUAUUAAUAUGUUCUAAAAUAGAAGUCGAUACCAACAAAGCUUGGUAUUAAAAUUUUAGUACUAAAUUCAAUAGCAGGGACGUGUAUUAUUUAAAUUUAAGAAGAUUCAGAUUUGAGGAUGUCUUUAUUAAACCAUUUCAACACCACUUAGAUACCAAAUCUAGAUUUUGACAAAGACUUGAAAAAGUGCUUUUUGAGUAUAAUUCUAGGGAGAAUUAAAGUUGAAUGAGACUUGUCCCAACCUAAAUUUAUUGAAAAUCUAAAUUUGAAGCUAGCAAAUUGUAAAAGAGAAAAUUUCAAUCAUCAAAUCAAUACCACAGUUUCAUUUCAACAAAAGAUUUUUUAUGAUAGCAUCGAUCCUUAGUGUACAAUGUGAUAUCGACAUUUUGAUACAAUUUUUUACUAUAAGGCUUCAAUUCCCAUUACCCCAUAAUCUUAUGACAUAUGAUUAAUUCAACCUUUUUUUUUUUUUUGAGGAUUGUUCAUUUUCAACUUUUGAUCAUUUUUGAGUUAUUUUAGAAUUGCUUUAGUUAAGGUUAAGGUUAGACAAUUAUACAAGUACUUUCAUUAGUGUUCUUGGGAAGGACAUGCAUGGAGAAAUAGAUAAAGAUGAUUAUAUCAUUAGACAUAAGGUUAUUUUUUAUUUUCUUUUAAUAUUUUUGAUGAAUUUCCUAAAUUUUUGUUGUUCCUUGAAUGCCAAUAAUGAUUAUUAGGUUGGUUCUUUCAACCAACGAUUAUUCGAUUAGUACUUUUAGCCAUGAUUGGAUAAGUUCUUUCUUUCUUGAGAUGUAGUAUUGAAGAUGAAAAAUCUAGAAAUGGGGUAGCAAAAAGGUAUAUUUUUUCAUGGUUAAUGGUUUCAAGUUUUAAGCUUUUUUAGGAAUUAAUUUUUUUGUUAGUUUAUCCUUAUUAAAGAUGUAGUAGAUGCAUGCUAGGGGUCUAUCGAUCCAUAAGAGGAUAUGAUCAAUGGCUAACCUGGUGUGAUCCUCUAUGAUUACUAAUUGAGGAGAAACUAUUAGAUGAAUAAAGGGUGUUAAGAUAAGAAACCAAUGAUCCAUUCAUUAUUGAAUAACUAUUAAGAAUUGGGAUUCAAAGUUUGAAAAUCAAAGUUCUAGAUUUAAUGAUCUAUAGAGAUGACUCAAUCUUGGAAAGACUAUAAUUCUUAAUUAGAUAUUCAAAUGUUAUUUAUCUACUUUGGAUCAAAAUUUAAUUUUUAAAAAUUUCUAAGGCUUUUAUGUAUUGUCUUUCCUAAAUCAAGUUUGUGUUUUCCAUAUGAAAAUCAUACUUUUAAUGAGUAAUUCUUAGCUUAGGUUCUUAAAUAAAAGCAACAACAAGUUAAUUUGUCAUAGGCACAACCCACCAUUUAUUUUGAUUCCUUGAAGAUAAUAUCAAGAUACUAUAAGCUAUAAUAAAUCUAUUAGUUUUUCUUGGCUACUGCAUUAAAGCUUCAAUAAUUUAUAUAUCAUAGAGGAUUAGUGAAGAAAUUUGCCAUCGUUGCUAAGAAUGCAAUUGCUAGUUAUCAUUAAAUUAGUUUAAGUUAUUGAUUAGUUCUUAGUUCAACAUAUGUAUUAGUUUUUAGGAGUAGUUAAUUGCUUAGUUAAAUGAGUUGUUUACUCUUAGUAGAUUUCAUUUUGUUUUUGUUUAAAUAUUGCCCUUGCUAUUAGUACUAUGUUUUCCUAUUAUGAGCUUGAGUAUAUCAGUCGAUCACAUAAUAAGAGGACUCAAGGAUGAUAGAGGUAAUAUUAAGAGGUUGAUAAUUUUUACCUCAUUAAAUUAUGAACACCUAUUUAUGAGAAGCUUACAUGUAAUGUUUAGUAGGUAAUAGACUUGAGAAAUAGAUUAAAUUAUUAAUUUACAUCUCGAUUUAAUAUCAUAUGAUACUAGAGUAUAGUUGACUCGAUGUAGUGGAAUGUUGAGUCAACUUUAUAAUCGAAUUAUAAGGGAGAUAUUUUCUUAUAGGUCCCAAUAGUCCUUACUCAAACUGACACUCUUUAAUGACAUGUUAUUUUGAGGGAAAUUUAGGUUUUCACUCGUAUGUGUGCAUAAAGGCAUUUUGGUAAAAAUAUAGGAUUGCACAACUUAUGAAUGGUUUUUUUAGAUUUGGUUAAUUAAUUAAUUGGAGUUUAAUCCUGCUAAUAAAUUCAUUAGGAAUCAAUGAAGUAGAUUAAGUGACCCAAGCCUAAGAUGAACUCAUAUAUAAAUCCUCUUAGGUUUAUGGAUAGACUAUCAUGAUUCAUUAUUGUGAAACCAAGGUUUGGUUAAUCUUGAUUUUGAUGAUAACAAAACAAGGUUUAGAACUAAUGAUCAUAUUUCAAGUGUGAUUAGGCAAGACGACUUCCAAAGUGGCAAUCCAAAGACAAAUCAAGCCAAGGAGAAAUCAUGAAGAAGAAGACCACCUUAAAGAGAAGAGUUUUUCAAGAUCAAAGCUUCUUAAGAUCUCUUUGUAAGGUUGUUGGUGCACUAGGACUUUCAUGCAUUUCAUUCUUUAUUUAUGCACCAAAAUCAUUCAAGAGUAAUAUUGUUUUAAAUAUCUUAAGAAUUAGAUGAUUUCAUGUUUUCAACUAAAACCUUGUGUUAAAUGAUUUUCAAACUUGUGUUAAAAGGUUUUAAGUUGAAAAGGGUUGAGUGUUGAGCCAAAAAAAUGGCUCAACCGGUCAACCGGUUGUGCUCGUCCGGUUGAGGACCGGUUGAGGGAGGCCAAAAAGUUCCUCUCUCUCCCAGUGGCCUUCUCUUCCCUAUCAAGGUUGAACCUCAACCGGUUGAGGUCCGAUUGAGGCCCAACGAUCACUUUCCCUAACGGCUAGUCAACCGGUCGACCCCUAGCUCGACUGGUCGAACCCCCAACGGCUAGUAUGACUUUUUUCUUCAAUAAAAAGGCUCCAAACUUCAUUGUUUCAUAAGCUAAACCUUCCCAAAUCAUUCUUGAAUAUAUUUGAGCCUUAGAAGAGUGUUUUUGAGUGCACCAUUGUUUCAUAACUUGCAUAUCUUUGUGCACUAUUCAAUCCUAGUUUUUCUUGUAUCUUUGAGCCUAAAAUUCUAUUACUAGGAUUUUUGUGAGAUCAAUCUUUGUAUAUCUUUGAGAGGAAUUUUCUCAAGUGAGGGGUAUCACUUGAGAGGUUGUUCAAGAGUGAGAUAACUCUUGAGAAGUGUAAAGGGUGCUUGGAGCCAAAAGUCCAAGAGGGUGAAUUAGAACCAUAAUCCAAUUGUAAAGAGAUUGGAAGCUUGGUUGAAGCUUCAAGAUAGUGGAACCCUCACUCGGUUAGGAGGUUGAGGAGAGUGGACGUAGGCAAGGAAGUGCCGAACCACUAUAAACUCUCGUGUUUGCACUCUCUCUUCCCUAACUCUUUUAAAUUAUAUGCAAUUGUCUUUAUUUUGUUUAUUAUAUACUUGCAUAUAAUUGUCUCUUAUUUUUGCAUAGUUUAAAUUUGUGAAAAAGAGACCAUCACCCUAUUCACCCCCCAUCUAGGGUGAUUACCAUAAGUUGGAUUAGUUUUAAAUUCCUAACAAUUAUUAUCUUCUAAAGAGAGAAAACCCUAGCCUUUAUCCUUAUAGAACAAAGUCUACCAAUCUCCAUUGCCAAGAUUUAAGAGAAAGCUAUCGAAUGAAAGAUCCCUAGGUUUUUGAUGUCUUUUUUAAUUAACUGGAAAAAUGAUUUGCGAACAACUAAAUUUGAUGUAUGGAUUCUACUUUUAAUCACCUUAAAAUAAAUUUUAAAAGACUUAUUUAGUUUUCGUUACACCUAAGAUCUAUAGAUGCAUCUAUCCCUUUAGGGAUCAAGCGUUUGGAUUCAUUUUCCAAAGAAUAAAAAAAUCCAUUUCUUGGGCAAUCCUUGAUGAUCAAGGAUAAUGCUACAAUAACUCUUCCUUUUAUAAUGAGGAGUUAGCAAUAAGGGGCAACCUUCUUCUCAAGGGAACAAGAGAGACUUGAUUUAAGCAUGAGUUGCCCUUAUUUAGAAAGGUUUUAAAUUGAGAAGGAAUUGACUCUCCACCUUCUAUCAUGAGAAUGAAGUAAUCUUCUACUAUAUAUAUGAGAUCCUUCAUGGCCUCAAUAUCAAUCAUGAGGAUUUUUUUUUCUUUUCCAAGGAAGAGUGGGUUAAGGUAGAAGAGUGAGGGAAAGGCAUAAGAGGUAGUAGUGUAAACAUGCUAGUCGAAUACUCUCGAUAAGAAAGAAAGUGUUAUCUAGGAAACCUGGAUUACUCAAUUCCCAUGCCUUGGAUCUUGUAGGGUGCAUGCAUCUAUCCCUAAGGAUCUCUAAAUCUAACACAACGAAAAUAAAUGGUUUAAAAAAUAUGGAAUAAUACAAAUAUAGAGAUUAAAACUCAUAUCUACGAUCUUGAUGUUCCUAGAUUGAAAUCCAUCUGAUGAAGACUGUGCAUGAAUGCUCUAGAGGUCCUAUGCCCAAAGUCUUUUGCCCGACAACUAGAACCAUGUCCAUGACAUUCUAAAGAAUGAACUUUGGAAAUGUGGAUGUCUAGAUUCUCGUUUUCUCUUUGGAUCUGGAAGACAGUAGUCAAACGACCAUUAGGAAACCUUAACCCCAUGAAGGGGUAUUUAUGGGGUUCUUGUACUGAGUUUAAAUAACUUAAGCCCACAUAGGUUUGGGUCACUUACUUUAGCAUAAAAUGGGUCCUAAUUGAUUAAUUAACUACAUAGGCCGUCUAAUUAAUCAUUUUUCUCAAUCCAAAGACCUUAUUCACUAUCCCAUGUGCAACCUUGCAUAAUUACUAAAAUGCCUUUAUGCACAAGAGUGAACCAAGAGUUAAUCCAACCCUCAUACACCAUGCCAACAUGGUAUAUGAGCUUAGAUAGGGGACCAUUGGGACCCAUAAGAGUAUUGGCUCCCUUAGAAUAUAAUUUUGAAGUUGAUUCAACAUCCCAUUAUAGAGAAUUAACUGCACUUCAAUAUCUUAUAUAGAUAAUAAUGAGACGAAACUCAGGUUUGUAACCUACUAUCCAUUGCAUGCAAACCCUCUAUGAAUUAGUGUUUAUAAUAUAAUAAAGUAGUGUUAUCACCUAUCAAGAUUACCUCUCAAAUCCUUGAGUUAAAAAUCUUACUUAUUAUGUCAUCAAUUGACAUACUCCAACUUCAAGGAGCAUAUGUCAAAUUCCACUAAAGGGGAUAUAUAGUCCUAAACCAAUGAGAUAUCAUGACGCCUCUAUUGAGAAUACAUGUUAUCAUCAACUUCCAUCAAUAAUGACCCAAUUAAUAGAAAUAUAUAACCAUUUUAAGAUCUCACCCAUAGGUCAAAACACUUUAUUGAUUUUGACAUAGAUUCAAUAUCCUUUUAAGGUUGAAAGUCCAUGCAGUAUAAUAACUUAGUAGAUUAUGACAAUUAAUAGCCUUACAUCAUGAUUCACUAUAGGUCAUGUCCACUGUGCAUGACAUACACUAAUGCAUUUACCAUGGAAAACUCAUCCCGAUGACCAAGACAAGUCAUCAUUCCAAUUAGGAGGUGGUAUACUAUAGUCUCUAGUGGAUUGUCCAAAUCAAUCCAUAAACUAACUGUGAAUAACUUAUCUAUUUACAAAUAACUCAUAACUUGUAUCCUCCAUGUAACUCCUAAUGCACCCAUGUUAUGUACAAUGUAAAAUAUAUGAACUAAAUGCUCAAAUCAAUGUCAAUGCAUAAAAGGGAUAACAAGAAGACAAAUAAGUUUGACUUUGUUACCUCAUGUGUUGUGUUUAGAGGCUUAAUCCCAAUAGAAAUAUCGCUAAAGGAUGAGGUAUUAAGCUAACCACUUUCUUAGAGUAUGAGACUUAGGACCUAUUUGGUUGUUGUUUUUGAAAACUGUUUUGGAAAACAGUUUUUGAGAACAGUUUUUUGUGUUUUCAGAAAAAAAAAAAAUUGCAUUUGGGAAUUGAAUUCUGGAAAAUAGUUUUUGUUCUAAAAAAAAACAUGUUUAGUUGAGUUAAUAAAAAAGUUUUUUAGAAUAAGUAAAAUAAAAAACAUGUUUGAAAGUUUUUCUUAAUUAAUAAAGUGUUUUAUUCCAUUAACUUGAUAUUAUAAAUAUUUAAAUAAUUUUCAUAUGCACAAUUCAUUUAAAUUGAAAAAAAAAAUUCCAUUUUGAAAUGUUUACACUAGUUAUAAUUUUCUUAAACAAAGGAUGAGUUUGUCAUCAUGUGUAAGUAUAUUAAUUUCAAUAAUUUAAGGAAGAAGAAAGAGUUUGCAGGUGGAGGUGUGGUGGUUGGGUGGAGCUCACCUUUAUGAAAACACAAAAAAACAGCUAAGAAAACACAAAAAGAAUGGAGGAGAAAACACAAAAAACAAUCUAUUCUUUGAACAGUGAAAAAACAAUGAAAACAUCUUUUUAUUGUUCUCAAAAAAGUGGUUUUUGAGAACACAAAAAACACAAAAAACACAAAAAACACAAAAAACAAAAACACACCCCUUUCCCCAAACAAGUUUUUUGUGUUUUUUGUUUUCAAGAACAGGAAAUAAUUAUUGAAAAUAGAAACCAAACAAGCCCUUAGAUCCCGAGUGGUUUAAGGAGAAUAAGGAUUAGUGUUUCCAUUUCCUUUAGAGGCAUGCUACUAUGGAAAAGUAGCGCAAAUUCCUUAAAAUUAAGGACAAGAGUAGGAACUUGAGAUAAGGGCCAAAAAUUUGACAUGGUGACACCAUAAACUAAGCCAACUAGGAUAUGUUCCAUACAAAUGGCUUAUAGCCUAUCUAGUUGGUGAGGUGAGAGUUAAAAGCUAAAUGUUAGAAGAACACAUCAAAAUUAAUGACCUACCUAAUCUCUUGAAAUAGUUGUGCUAGAUACGAGUCACAAGUUAUCCUUGGGACUUUAUAAAACAUGAAAGACAAGUCAAAAUCCAAAUGAGUAAAAGGAAGACUAAAGAGCUAAGUGAAAAAGAAGGGCCUUUAUCAAGGCUAUGUGACCUCUCACAUUUUCCCAUGAUUAGAAGGAAUCCUUGUUUCUCCAAUUUCUUCUAGGAGUUGAGAAUAUUAGAAAUCAAACAUUGGUUCCUAUUUAAAGGAGAUGUACCAAGUGUUAGAACUAUAUCUUUUGACCUAGUAAAUGAACAUAAGCUCCCAUAGUCCACACGGUACUUAAGUGUCAUAUUCAUCAUAAUAACUGCUAUGAAAUCAUCGAAGGUAUUAGGGUUAAUGCAAUGUAAUGAAACUUUCAUAAAAUUGAAGAAACGUUUUAAAAGGGAAGGAAGAGACAAGCAAGAAUCAACCUUUAAAUGCUCUACAAGAUAUAUCCUUCCUCUGCAUGCAAAGGUCACAACAAGUUUUUACAAUACAGGCUCAUAACCUUUACAAAAGGUGGGAUUUGGAAGCAACAACCCAAAAGCCAUGGAUGAUACCUUGAAGUUGGGGGAAAGUGUAGCGAAUAGGAAAAACUACUCAAGAAAUAACGAUACAUGGGUGAAAAGAAAUGGAGAGUAAGAAAUAGAGAAUACAAAAAGAAAAAGAAUAUCAAUGGGAAAACACCUUAUAUAUGUGAAGAAAAAUGGCAUUGGAAAUCGAAAAGGAUGUAAUCAUUGCAUUGCACCUUGCAAAUCUCUUAGGAAACAUACCCAUCACCAUGUUAACUUUCAAUUUUUUCUUCUAAUGAGGGAGUAACUACAAUGUCUUGAAGUUAUUAUAAACCUAAUAUUAGUUUUUUGUUUUUUUAGUCUUUUGAUGUAAAUUAAUACUUUAAUAGUAGAUUAAUGUAGUGAGAUUUCUCUCUUUUUUUUUUUUUUUUUUUUUAAAAAAAAAAAGACAAACUACUUGUUUUAGUAGUAGAGAAGUUGGUAGCUUAGUCAACAACUAGCAUGGUUGUGUGAUUGAAAAUUUUAGCCAACCUUUCUACAUUUUAGUGGAUGUUUGGGAAGUCAUUUGUAUUAUCAAGAUUUAUCCAAAAAGAGGCUAAGGCAAGUGUGAGGAGAGAGUUGUUUUAAGAGACUUAGUAGGACUAAAUGACACACGACAACAAUUAAAGAUGAUUCAAUUGCUAGCUUGAAAUUAUUGUCUUUAAUAAUUAGUCUUAAAUGUGAGGGAGAAACUAAAAAAAAAACGCUGGAAUUUUGUACUUCUCUCUAAACUUAGAGUUGCAAUUGAAAAGGGAAAUCAAAGUAAAAAACUAAAUGCUAAAGAAUAAUCAACUUGCUUAAUAAGUAGAUAAAUUACUAUUUGAAAUUCUACAAGCAACUAACAAGAUACCAAGAAAGGUAUAUGGAAGUCUUCUAGAAAGUAUUUGAUAGGUUGAAAAUUGAUAGUAGUGAAAAUAAAUGCUUGCCUUCAAAAGUUCACUUGCCUCUAAAUAAAUUCUUGUUUGAAAAUCAUUAAACUGGUAUUUUAUAUAUUUCAAUUUUUGUAAAAUAACUCUGCACCACUAAGUUAUUGCUCAUCUUUUUAAAAAUGAUUUUUUCGACAUAGUUGAAGGAAUUCAAGAGGAGAAAAAUAGUUGAAGUAUCAUGUGAAACUUACAAACAUCUUGUUGGUUGUGUUUAGGGUGGUUUCCCUAUUUGAGUGUUUCAUGCUACCUAUUGUCAUAUAUGGAAAAAAAAAAUGAGAAUUGUAAUUUUGGUAAUGUACUACACUAUUGUGUAAUAGAAUAUAAGAUGAUGAUUCUUCUUUUUGUGUUGUAAAUUUGGUUUUGAUUUAUGUAAAUCAAGUUUUAGGAUGUUAAUAGAACUUAUCAUAGUUAAAAUUAUUGAAUGAAUAUUUAAAUCUAGAUUUUAGGUGUUAAAAGGAUGGAAAAACAAGUUUAAAAUAGUUGAAAAAGAAAAAUAGCAAAAAAUGCAAACUUGCGUAAAAGUUUACUUAGAGUUGUGUACACAAGCCUUUGAGCUACUUAGAUCCUUGUAUGCAAACCUUUGAGCAAGUUGAGUCCACAUAUGCAAACCUUUAAGAAAGUUAAGUUUGUGUACACAAACCUAUGAACAAGUUGAGUCCACAUAGUUUCUCAAGCAUUUUACAUUAUGCAAACUAAGCGCUAAGCAACUUGACCUUGUGGAAGGAACUAAGCGUCAUUCUUCCAAAAUUUCACACACUUGCAUAGAUAACCCACAUGACCUUGAGACAACCUUUAUGUGCCCCUACAUUGUGAACAUUGAAAUAAAUGUCCUUACUUUGUUAUUUAUAUUUCCAUUUACUUUAAUUUAUAAUGUAAAUAAUGGAGUACCCCUAUUUGAAUUAAAUAAAAAUAUUUUCAAAAACCAAAUCUAAUUCAAUCAAAAUUUGAUUUUCUAGUCUAGUUAUGAAAAUUAUUUAAAUGACAACUUUUAUGAAAAAAAAAAUUAUGGAAAUGGCUUGCAUGAGUAGAAUUUACAAAAAAAAAAAAUGAAAAUUCCAAAAGAUUAUUUUUAGUUCUACCAACAUAGAAACAACAAAAUCCAUUACUUUUUAUCUUAAAUUGAGAAAGUUUUACAAAUAGCCUAUUUCUCAUAGAUAGUGAAAUUUCAACACAACUAAGUCAAUAUAUAGAGCAGACUCGAAGUUUUUUAAUCUAAACAACUAUGUUCCAAAGGCAUGAAAGUAAAAAAAUUUGAGCCCAAACUCUUAACUUUUUCCUUAAUUCACACUUUACGUUCUAAAAUACUUAGGUGAACCUUGGACAUUAUACUAGACCAUAGUCUUAAAUCUUGGGGUGUAAUAGGAACUAUAAGGAUAUAGAAGGUUGGCAAGCCUAUCACCAUAAGGGUACAUGUAAGCCCAAGAGAGGAUGCUUUAGGAUGAGCAGGUAGGGGGUGCCCACAAUGUUGUCUCUGCUCACAAUGUUGUCUCUUUUAGAUCCCAUAAGUGACAAUUUGCGUAUUUAAUGUGAUUGGAUGCCUGUCUCAUGCUUACAAUGUGAAUAAGACCUUACCUCAAAAUCAAGUGACCAAUAGUCAUUUCUUGAUUGGGCAUUAACAAGGUGUGAUGGCAUGUACUAUUCAACCAUUGGUAUGGUUAUAACUUCUAACAAACCUAAUCUUAACCUUUAACACUCCAUGUAAGUUGCAUAUAAAAGGGGAUAACAUGAUUCUCCCAUUUAUGUUCUCUCUUAUCAUUUGUCUCCUCUUAUUGGCCUAACCAGCCACCUCACUUCAAUUAGUCAACAUUAUCUUUACAGGAGAGGGUGCACAUGCCUUCUCACACACCACACUAAGAACGUAGUAGUAAUAAUAGUAGUAUUAGUUAAAUAAAAAUGAUGAAAGAUAAUAUAUUUUUCUUAAUUUUUCUCAAUUAGUUCAACCCUUCUACUCAAACAAACACUAGAAUGUAGAAUUCAUAAAAGUUGCUUUAAAAGAAAAAUGACUAAUUAAAAGAAUCCACCCAAUUUACUCAAACUCCCAUAGUAGAUGUUUUUUGUCAUCUAUACAUAAAAAAAAAUUCUGGUGGCAUAAUCCUAUGAUUGGAUUAUUAAAAAGUACUAAAUGAGGCAAUGGAAUUAUAGAAAAUGGUUUAAUUAAUAAUCAUCACUGGCUCUAUAUUUAAAGUAUUCUAACCAACAAACUAUAUAAGAAUGCAUGUUCUAUAUUUGUUAACAAUUCUCACCAACUUUAGGUGGUCCUAAUGGCCUCAUUCAAGGGAGAACCUUGUAAAUGACGAUUCUCCUGCCUUUGGGCUUACGGUGCAACUUGCUUUAAACCGGGCCUAGCCCAAUUCAACCAACAGGUAGGCUUGCACUCUAGACUUACGCAAGCCACCCCAACUCCUCAAUACAAACAGGACAAAAUUCAUCUUAUAAUUUCAAUGGCUAUAUAGAUCCCCCACUCACAUAUCAUUGUCUUGUGCUGGUUUCAAAUUUAAAUUAUAAACCAUACUCUAGAUCAUAUGAAAAGCCAAUGCUUCUUCUAUUCAUAUUUUUCACAACAUUUGUAGCAAUUUACCCAUUUUAAAUACAACACAAAAUUAAUCAUCCAACCAUUAAAUUUACUAAUCAUGCAAGUGGACAUAUUUAGGGUUGGAAAAAAAAUGAUGUAAAUGAAGAGAUAGAGGCCUAGAAUGCAGACAAGAAAUAAUAAUAAUGCAGAUGGAAAAGGUAGGGAGAGGGAGGAGGGUCCAUGGCCUAAUAUGAAUUAUAAAAAGGGUCAAAAUUUGGACCACACAACUCAUCCCCACUUAAAAAUUUGUACGACAUAUCGGUUACCAACUAUUUCACCAUCUAUAAAACCAUUGAAAACAACACUACAUAUUUUUUUGGUAUGGAAGCAAUACAAAUACCAACAAAAUUGCCCUUAUGUUAAAUACCCUUCUCUAUAGGUUAACAUUAAUAAUAAUUUUUAUAAAGAGGGAGAGAUGGGAGAGAUGGAUAGUACUGAUUUGUUUGCUACACCUUGUCGUCGCCCAAAAGCAGGAAGGUGAGACAAUUUAGCUCCUCACCGGUCCUUUCCUCCAUCAUUACUUCUCUUUCUUUACUUCUUUUCUAUUCUAAUGAAUAUUUCAUUCUAAUUAAUUUUUUUUAAUAGAAAUUAGACUAUUUUUUUAAACCCCAUUACAAUUUUUGUUAAGAAUAAAAAAGAAAAAAGAAUGUGUUACAAAAAGGGGAGGGGAGAUCCUUCUUUUACAUUUCCACUUCUUUUACGAAAUUAUUAAAUAAAUAAAUGAAAUAAAGAAUAUGAAAACCCAACAAUAUCAGCAGCCAGCCUUUUUUCACUUUCCUUCUUUAUUAUCAUUCCAUUUUCCAUCUCUUUUCCUUGCUUUCCUCCUCAUCUCUUCCUCAUCUCAUCUCAAAAUUCUUUUCCUCAGAAUCUCCAGAAACCCUCUGUCUUUCUCUCUCCAUACAGAUCCAAAGCUUCAAUUUUCGAAUCCAAAAUCUUUGUUUUUUCUUUUUUUUUUAGAUUCUUUUCCCACUUUUCUAUUUUCCCACAAAUUUUGCAUUCCCUGUAAUCUUUGUAUAAAACCCAUUCUUUUCCCUGCAGAUUCUUUGCUAAGAAAAUGUGGGUCCGCUGAUCCUAAACCUAGGGUUUCGAUCCGCUUCCUGUAGGCGGCGGGGAUUUAGGGUUUCUCUUCAUCGACGAUGCGGAAUCGGUGUUAGGUUUUGGUUAUUAUUGUGUUGGUGUGAAACUAUAUGUGCAGAUUUGUUGAUUUUUGGGCGAUUAAGAAGGUUGUUGUGCCACUGUGUAUGUUGGGAAUUGAUGGAUCUGAGAGUUGGGAGAUUUGAUCGGUCUGCGAGAAGGGCAUCGAAAUUGUAUCGAGGGGAAAGGUUUGUUUGUGAUUUGUAAUGGUGAAUGGUCUUUUGGGUUAAGAGGGAAAGGGUCGAGAUUGUUUUGUUUUUGGGGCUUUGAUUUUAAUUGGGAUUUGGCAUCAUGGAUCAUGUGAUUGGUGGGAAGUUUAAGCUCGGCCGCAAGAUCGGGAGUGGAUCGUUCGGAGAGCUUUACUUAGGUGGGGAUUCUUUUCCAUCAAAUGUAGCUUUGUUGGUCUGGGAAUUGUUUGUGUUAAUGGUGAUUUGAUUUGUUUCAGGGAUUAAUGUACAAACUGGAGAAGAAGUGGCUGUUAAGCUGGUACGUGAAUUCUUUAUAUGCUGAAGAUUUCCUUAUUUUAUUUGAUGGUAUUGAGAUUGAACGAUCAAGUGUAAUGUUGUUUACAACUCCUGUUUGAUGUUAUAUCCAAGAGAAUUGUUGGCUGGAAGCAAGUUCUUUAAUUGUUUCUAGAUGGUUGAGAUAAGGUUUUGUUGAGUUUAAUUUUAUUCAUUUUAGCUCGUAGCAAUAUCAGAAGAAAGGAAUGAUCUUCUUUUGGAAUUGAAUAAGCCUUGCAAAAUAAUUUGUUUGUGAGCGGUUUAAAAGAGCAGAUAAAACAUGGUAGUCUAUAGGACCCAUGAAGAGAUGACUAGCCUAUGGACAUGGAUGGUUUGAACCUUUGACUUAAACAUAUUAACUAUCGUUUUUUUUCAAAUGUGCAUUCUUAAAGAGGGUAUUGUUAAGUUAGUUGGUCUGUUUUGAUAUCAUCUCUGCAAUAUAGAUAUUUUUAGAUGAUACCCAUUUUAAUUGCAUGCUACUCCUACUUUUGGUGUUUAUAGAAGUUUCAAGUUUAAUAAGAUUUGAGCUUUAUCCAAUGAACAAUGUUGGGUACAGCACAAAAGAAGCAGUCCUUCACUUGUAGAUUGCUUGUGAGUUGAACUCACACUAGUUUUUACUUGCAGUUUAUAGUAUAAGUUUCCUCCUAAGAACAGUAUCAGGCUAAGCUUUUGUUCAGUUUGAUUUUGAUCAUAGUUUUGCUUGUUUGUCAUAAAGGUUGUAAAUGCCCUUGGACACUAAUAAUUCUCCAUGGUUAUUUUCUUUUCAUUCCACUUUACUAACUUAACUCUCUCUCUUUUCUGUAGGAACCUGUAAAGACAAAGCACCCUCAACUUCACUAUGAGUCCAAAUUGUAUAUGCUUCUUCAAGGAGGAAGUAAGUUCCUAUUUUUUCUAUUCAUACAUGUCUGGUUAUUUUGUUGAGUCAAAGUCAAUUCUAUUUGUCUAUUUUAUACAUAUGUAUUUAUUUUAUUUCUUUUUGGAUGAAGCUGGCGUUCCCCAUCUCAAAUGGUUUGGAGUUGAGGGUGAAUACAAUGCCAUGGUCAUUGACCUUCUUGGACCAAGCCUUGAGGACUUGUUCAACUACUGCAAUCGGAAAUUUUCAUUGAAAACAGUUUUAAUGCUCGCAGAUCAACUAGUAAGCAAGCUGAUAUUUCCAACAUAGUUGUGUUUUGUUUGUGUAGCUUCUAUACUUACACUUUUUCCUCUGUUUUAUGUAGAUUAAUAGAGUUGAAUAUAUGCACUCAAGGGGUUUUCUUCACCGUGAUAUAAAGCCUGAUAACUUUUUAAUGGGUUUAGGACGAAAAGCAAAUCAGGUACACUCUUCUAUUGAAUACUUUGAUUGCUUGCAUGAUGUCUGCAUUUUCCAUACAUAGAAGCGUUUUGACCACUUUCAGUUGGUUGUAAGAUUCUCUGUUUGAUGUUCACUGGCAAUAAAAUCUUUUUGAAUAUAAAAAGUGCCAGAAAUCUCAUGUCACUUUUAUGUUUGACAUAUAUGGGUAAGAAUUAAUGAGAUAAACUGCUAAAGUUUAUAGUGGAACUUCUUUAGCAUACUCACAUUUGGAGUUUAAUAAUUUGUAUGGUCUGAGAGGUUUCUGGCACAAAAUUAUUCACAAUGCUGAGAAGUUAAAUUGUCUCCUUAGAAUUAAUUUUAAAGUGACAAAGCAAAUAUCUCAUGUUCUAAAAUUCUGGACAAAUAUUUUGCAUAAUUUUUAUUUAAUUAUAUAUACUCAUCUCUAGAUGUUUAGGUGAUUAAUGCACCUUGCAUGUGAGUUUAGGAAAUGAAUGGUGGGAUAAUGGGGCUUUUAUUGAAUUUUUAUUAUCAUAAUGAGAAUGUAAGUAUUUCUGUUGUCUGCUAAUUCUUGUUUUUAGUUAUAUUUAGGCCAAUACAUGCUUGCCAUAUGAUCAACCCAAAUUUUCUUGAGCUCAUCUGAUUGACAAUAAAUUUUAUGCUGCUUUGAGAAAUGUCCUUGGCCCAUGCCAACUGGGAAUUUUCUGCAGAACUACAAGCUAUAUAUGCAAAGGCUAUCUAGAACUAUAUAGUACUCCCAAAAAAUAAUUAUCCAAUAUUGUCAUAAAAAUUGUUCUGAAUAAAUGCAGAUUAACUUUUUUUGCCUGUUUACAUUCUCACAGGUUUACAUCAUUGAUUAUGGCCUUGCUAAGAAGUACCGAGAUUUUCAGACACACAAGCACAUACCUUACAGGUGGGAGACAUUCCUUAGUUUUCUAGGGAAUGUGAUAUAACCAUUUCUCGCUGUUCUGUUUAGGACCUUGUGUCCCAUUUUGUUAAACUCCAAUUGUAAUAUUGCUGUUCUAUAUGCAAGCUAGUCUCUGUUUUCUGAUGCAUUCUUAUGUGAAAGUUUCCAUAUAUCUAUAUCCAUAUGCAUGGCGAGAUGCUUGGCAUGCAUGUCUAUUUUUAAUUUUUGUUAUAAUGAUUUUAGGGAGAAGGAACAGAGGAGAGUAAUGUAAUGUUUCCUCCAUUUUUUGCGUUUCCUUUCUAUCAUGUAAUAAUUGCUGAUUUUAAGCAUCCCAGGGGUAUGACAUACUUUUCCAGGUUCUCAAGCACCUGUUUUUAUUGAACUAGAGAAAACUCUCAAUUUGGUAGUCAUUUUUUAUCUUACUUCCAAAGGAAGUUUGAAAUUCUGAGCCUAUUAUGCUUAUUUAAGAGUUUUGAUAUGUCAAGGAGAUGUGAUUAUUAUCCUUCUGACACAAACAAAAACCAGAUUAAAUGGAUGGUGAUUGUUGCAACGGAUCCAGGAUUACUGAUGAAUGGGGAUUUUUGCUUUUAGUACUUGUUUAUUAUGUGUACUUGUGGGUUGUCGUUAUUCAGGGUUACUUGCCAUCAAGCAGGUAGGCCUUGGUGUCUGUAUAAUCCAGUUGCAAUAACCAAAUGAUCUACUGUUAAAAAAAGGCUAAAGAAAAGUUAGACAACAGUAUCUAGACCUUGAUGAUGAAGGCUAUAAUGCAUGGUUAGGAUGUUUUAGCUGCAAAAUGAUUGGGCUUUGAUAAACAUCAUGCAUAUUCAUUUUGUUUUUUCUUUCAGAGAAAACAAGAAUCUCACUGGAACAGCUCGCUAUGCAAGUGUUAACACACACCUCGGAGUUGGUGAGUGAAGUUGACUUAUUGCAACUUGUAACAAAACAUGGCUUUUUGCUCAUGCUAUCAUAUAUUCAGAUUCUUGCAACCUUGCAUUAGUAUGAUUGUUUUUUGAUGUGAUUGAAUGUUGCUUGCAGAACAAAGCAGGAGAGAUGAUCUGGAAUCUCUUGGUUAUGUGCUAAUGUAUUUUUUGAGGGGAAGGUUGAAAAUGACUAAUGACGUCACUUUUGUAUUCUUUUGAAUCUUUUUUCGCAUUUCUAACUUAGUUUGUUAUAUUCCUGCCUCAGCCUUCCAUGGCAGGGCUUGAAAGCCGGUACUAAAAAACAGAAAUAUGACAAGAUCAGUGAAAAGAAGAUGCUGACUCCCAUAGAGGUGCCGUUCUUUGCUCCGAUAGGACACUUAUGAUAUGUUGAAUAUAUUAAGAGCCUGUUUGGGUUAAGCUUUUAACUUCUAGUUUUAGCAGCAGAAGUAGGAGCAAGUAAUAUGUUGAAUAUUUUAAGAGCCUGUUUAGAUUAACUUUUAACUUCUACUUUUAGCAGUACAAGUAGGGGAAGAAGUAACCAUUAUUUCUAUGAAAUUGAUUUUAUGAUUUGGAAUGUAUUUUAGAAAGGGCUUUUAUUAGAAAAUUUGGCAUUUUAAAGAAUUUAAUGAAAUAAAUAUUUGCUUCCCCACAUUGUGUUCCCUACUUUUUGUUUACGAAUCAUGUUGGGAAUGUGUAGCCCAAGUUUGAGAAAUUCUAUUCAAGAAAUUUUAAAAUUUGCAUUUUUCCUUUGAGCAUUCUGUUUUGCUUUUAAGACACUCUCCCAAACAGGUCUUAAGUAUGAUUACUAAGUCACUGGGUUGUUGAGUUAUAUAUCCCCACUACUAGCUUCUCUUGCAUAUUUAUUAACCGGAUUUACAUGGAAUGCUAAUUUCACAGGUACUUUGCAAAUCAUAUCCAUCAGAGUUCACAUCAUAUUUCCAUUACUGUCGAUCAUUGCGGUUUGAUGACAAACCAGAUUAUUCAUACCUGAAGAGGCUUUUCCGGGACCUAUUUAUUCGUGAAGGUAGACUUAUAGACAUUUGUAUUCCAAUAUCUGAAUAUUAUUUUCAUUUCUUGUUAUUUUUAUUUUAAAUAUUUAUUCUGCAAGUUGAUCUUAACUAUAGACUGAUAGAAGUGCUGCAAUUGCUUAAUCUUAGUUUUGAGAAUGACAAUUGGUGCAGGUUAUCAGUUUGAUUAUGUAUUUGACUGGACCGUACUCAAGUAUCCGCAAAUUGGAUCCAGUUCUAGAGUGCGGGUAAGCUCUUCUUAGUUGCUUGGCUUGUGUAACUUACUAUUCUUUUAUAAAUUGUUUCUCUUAUUCUUCACAUCCCUUUCCAGCAGCCUAGUGGAAAACCAGCUUUAAAUCCUGGACCAUCUGCAGAAAGAAUGGAGCGGCCAUCAGGUUUGUUUCUUUCACAGAAAGGUUCAGAAAUGUGUUGGUCAAGGUUUCUAUUUAAUCAAUUUUAAUUGCCAACCUAGAUAUUUAGAUUCUAAGUUAUGGAUGUGUUCUCUCAACUACUUGCUUUCUUUUUCUGUGUCAUGGAUUUAAAUUUACAUUUCUAUAAUUGAGUUGAUGUGUCUGAAGAAUUUGGUAUUUCUCUGAACAUCACUGAUGGUGUGGUCUAUAGUGCUUUCAUUUUAUUUUGAAAAAACUUCUGUUUGUUUCCUAUCUCUGAUUCAAAUACUUCUUUCAUCUAGUGGGACAAGAGAUUCGAGAUAGAUUCUCAGGUGCAGUUGAAGCAUUUUCUAGAAGGAACAACUCAGGUUCUGGUUAUCAUGGUGACCAGUCCAGGCACAGAGGUUCGGAGGAUGUACCAUCUUCAAAGGAUGUGGUGAGUUGCUGCAACAAUAAGAUGUGCACAUUGUGCAUGAACUUAAAUUCUUAUUACUUUGUCCCUUCCAUUUCUGUACUUGGUUCUGGUUUUAAGUUGUAGUAGACACCCUAAUUGUCAUUUUCCCCUGAAAAGAAGUCCAAAUGUUUUAACUACACCAUCAACCCUUGCCCAUUUUUCUAAACUUGGGCUGUUUCUUUCAGCAAACUGAUUCUGAAAGACCCCGGAGCUCCUCUCGAAAUGGCAGUACUUCAAAGAGGGCUGUUGUAUCAAGCAGCCGCCCAAGCUCCUCUGGUGAACCUACUGAGACUCGUGCAAGCCGUCUGGUCUCAGGCAGUGGCCGCUUGUCUACGACUCAAAGGAGCCAACCUGGUUUUGAAUCGAAAUCAUCAUCUUUCACUCGUGCUUCUGCAGCAAGAGGUGGGCGUGAAGAUCCUCUACGGAGCUUUGAGCUCCUAACGAUUGGCUCUGGGAAGAAGAAAUGAGGGAGAGAUUGAUCUUGUAAGAAGUUGAUUGGGAGGGGGAAAUUCCCCUGGCUAGUGUCCUAUCAGAAUCUCAGCACCCUUGAUAGUUUUACCAUGGCUCUGUAUAUGUGAAUUAUGCAUUAUUGGGCUCACAUGCGCAGUUAGAAGCUCAGUCAAAGCACUCGAGACUCUUCCUUCUUCCUCUUUGAGAGUUCGUGCCAUUAUAUUGCC
rnacentral:lncRNA from 1 species